rnacentral:rRNA from 1 species
GAUGAACGCUGGCGGCGUGCCUAUUACAUGCAAGUCGAGCGAACGGACGAGAAGCUUGCUUCUCUGAUGUUAGCGGCGGACGGGUGAGUAACACGUGGAUAACCUACCUAUAAGACUGGGAUAACUUCGGGAAACCGGAGCUAAUACCGGAUAAUAUUUUGAACCGCAUGGUUCAAAAGUGAAAGACGGUCUUGCUGUCACUUAUAGAUGGAUCCGCGCUGCAUUAGCUAGUUGGUAAGGUAACGGCUUACCAAGGCAACAAUGCAUAGCCGACCUGAGAGGGUGAUCGGCCACACUGGAACUGAGACACGGUCCAGACUCCUACGGGAGGCAGCAGUAGGGAAUCUUCCGCAAUGGGCGAAAGCCUGACGGAGCAACGCCGCGUGAGUGAUGAAGGUCUUCGGAUCGUAAAACUCUGUUAUUAGGGAAGAACAUAUGUGUAAGUAACUGUGCACAUCUUGACGGUACCUAAUCAGAAAGCCACGGCUAACUACGUG